rnacentral:lncRNA from 1 species
GAGAUUGUUUUUGGUGGUUCUGGUACAAACGGUUUAGAAAUUAAGGCAAAAAAAACGGACCAACAACAAGCAAUUUUGUAGUUUCUGAACAAUAACUUAUGUGUAAGCGUAUGGAUAUAUCUGAAAUUGUAUAACAAGGUUCCAUAUCUCAAUGGAAAGACUGGGUAUUAGUUUGGAGGUAAUUGCUCUCAGUGUUCAGGAAUUAGG